UAGCCGUAUCGGAAGGUGCGGCUGGAUCACCUCCUUUUGAGCAACGACGGAUCGUUCAUCCGUCAGGCGCCCGCACAAGACACCUGCAUCCAUGCCCGUAGCCUCCAGGGGCUACAGUGGCCAAAGCCGCGACGCGAGUCGUGCGGCACCAGCUUUGGGUCUGUAGCUCAGGUGGUUAGAGCGCACCCCUGAUAAGGGUGAGGUCGGUGGUUCGAGUCCUCCCAGACCCACCAGUAUGCGCAUCCCUUCGCAAGAGCCCGUACAUCCAUGUACGGACUGUUCAAGGAAGCGCAGACUACCCAGACAUCGGGGCCAUAGCUCAGCUGGGAGAGCACCUGCUUUGCAAGCAGGGGGUCGCCGGUUCGAUCCCGGCUGGCUCCACCAGUACACGGUG
rnacentral:misc_RNA from 1 species